rnacentral:rRNA from 1 species
UGUUGGGUUAAGUCCCGCAACGAGCGCAACCCCUAUUGUUAGUUGCCAGCACAUUAUGGUGGGGACUCUAACAAGACUGCCUACGCAAGUAGAGAGGAAGGAGGGGACGACGUCAAGUCAUCAUGGCCCUUACGCCCAGGGCUACACACGUGCUACAAUGGCCGGUACAAACCGCUGCAAACCCGUGAGGGGGAGCUAAUCGGAAAAAGCCGGCCUCAGUUCGGAUUGGAGUCUGCAACUCGACUCCAUGAAGCUGGAAUCGCUAGUAAUCGCGGAUCAGCAUGCCGCGGUGAAUACGUUCCCAGGCCUUGUACACACCGCCCGUCACACCAUGGGAGUUGGAUUCACCCGAAGGCGGUGCGCUAACCUUUUAGGAGGCAGCCGACCACGGUGGGUUCAGCGACUGGGGUGAAGUCGAAACAAGGUAGCCGUAGGGGAACCUGCGGCUGGAUCACCUCCUU